CUUGGACAUGUUCCCCAGCAACAGUGCUUAGCAUUAACCAUGUUUGUAAUUUGGGAUAAAUUUGAAUUCGUUUUAGUACAGAUAAAAUAAAUAAAAACGUCAAUUUAGACCAAUUUAUGUUCGCUGCUAGUACAAUUCUAUUAGUCUAGGACCUGUAUAUGGGUUUGUAUGCAUUUCAUUUAGGACAGAUAAUCUCAACUGUUUUAGGGUAAGUUGACCAUGACGGUCAACAUGGUAACGCUGCCCGAACCCCAAUCCGGGGCGAAACAUCCGAAACUGACCACACCCAAAAACGACGCCUUCGCCAUACUGCUAUCUACCAAACCAUAAGAGCUUUGGCUAUUCUGAGGUGCUUAUAUGGUUCAGAGAUGGUACUUUUGGGGGUGGUCAUUGGUAUGUGUGAAAUGCCUAGCACUAAUAUUUCACAAGAAAAUGGCCAUGCAAUAAUCAUAGUUAAACGUCAAUUUGUGGCUUGCAAAUUCAGAUAAACAGCAGUGGACUUACAUUACCUUUUUCCCUAAAUCUUUUUGAUAGAAACAUAAAU